UCAGCAGAAACUUGUAGAGGUCCAGGUACUCUUAGAUUUGGUGGACCCAUACAAACUAACAAUGUAUUCGAAGCAUGGUGACCAUUAGAGAUUAAUGAGACCAAGGCAGAGAAAAUCAUGUAAACACACAGAGCCAAGGAAAAGAAAAUCAUGCUAACACACGGAACUCAAGUGAAGAAAAUUAUGCUAACGCAUAGAAGCAGAGUAAUGAGAAUCAUGCUAAC
rnacentral:lncRNA from 1 species